AACGUAGGAGGCUAGCGUUAUCCGGAUUUAUUGGGCGUAAAGCGCGUGCAGGCGGUUUGAUAAGUUGGAUGUGAAAUCUCCCGGCUUAACUGGGAGCGGUCGUUCAAAACUAUCAGACUAGAGAAUGGGAGAGGAAGGUGGAAUUCCGGGUGUAGUGGUGAAAUGCGUAGAUAUCCGGAGGAACACCAGUGGCGAAAGCGUCCUUCUAGACCAUUUCUGACGCUAAGACGCGAAAGCUAGGGUAGCAAACGGG
rnacentral:rRNA from 1 species